rnacentral:lncRNA from 1 species
AUUUAUCUGUGGCAUAUUUUGUGUGUGGACUCAAAACUACAACUGUCUGUUUUUGUCUGUUUAAUUUUCAGAGCAGGAAGUGGAUGAGGAGAGUUUCCUUUUGCUGGAUGAUGCUGCCAUGCAGCAUCUUAUUCCAAAAAUUGGUCAACGUCUCAAAUUUCAAAAACAUCACAAGGAGCUUGGAGCAUGGUACACACCUGGCCGAAAACACAGACCUGCUACAGGUUUUUUGGAGGAGCGCUUGAGAAAUGUCAGAAAGCGUAUGAGGAGCCUGAUUCGCCCGCGCCAACAGGAACCACAAGAGGACCAUGCUGUCCUUACACCAGGUAAGGUAUCAUAUUUUCAUUAUUUGUUCAUUUACAUG